GGAGGGUGCAAGCGUUAUCCGGAUUCACUGGGUUUAAAGGGUGCGUAGGUGGGCAGGUAAGUCAGUGGUGAAAUCUCCGGGCUUAACUCGGAAACUGCCGUUGAUACUAUCUGUCUUGAAUAUCGUGGAGGUUAGCGGAAUAUGUCAUGUAGCGGUGAAAUGCUUAGAUAUGACAUAGAACACCCAUUGCGAAGGCAGCUAACUACACGAUCAUUGACACUGAGGCACGAAAGCGUGGGGAGCAAACAGGAUUAGAUACCCUGGUAGUCCACGCCCUAAACGAUGGAUACUCGACAUCAGCGAUAUACUGUUGGUGUCUGAGCGAAAGCAUUAAGUAUCCCACCUGGGAAGUACGACCGCAAGGUUGAA
rnacentral:rRNA from 1 species